rnacentral:rRNA from 1 species
CCUACGGGGGGCAGCAGUAGGGAAUCUUCGGCAAUGGGGGGAACCCUGACCGAGCAACGCCGCGUGAGUGAAGAAGGUUUUCGGAUCGUAAAGCUCUGUUGUAAGAGAAGAACGUUAGCGGGAGUGGAAAAUCCGCUAAGUGACGGUACCUUACCAGAAAGGGACGGCUAACUACGUGCCAGCAGCCGCGGUAAUACGUAGGUCCCGAGCGUUGUCCGGAUUUAUUGGGCGUAAAGCGAGCGCAGGCGGUUUGAUAAGUCAGAAGUAAAAGGCUGUGGCUCAACCAUAGUACGCUUUUGAAACUG